CACGUAGGGUGCAAGCGUUGUCCGGAAUCAUUGGGCGUAAAGAGCUCGUAGGCGGCUUAGUAAGUCGGGUGUGAAAACCCCAGGCUCAACCUGGGGACGCCACCCGAUACUGCUAUAGCUAGAGUCCAGUAGGGGAGUGUGGAAUUCCCAGUGUAGCGGUGAAAUGCGCAGAUAUUGGGAGGAACACCAGCGGCGAAGGCGGCACUCUGGGCUGGUACUGACGCUGAGGAGCGAAAGCGUGGGUAGCGAACAGA
rnacentral:rRNA from 1 species